rnacentral:rRNA from 1 species
UGGGGAAUUUUGGACAAUGGGCGAAAGCCUGAUCCAGCCAUGCCGCGUGAGUGAAGAAGGCCUUCGGGUUGUAAAGCUCUUUUAGACGGAAAGAAAGAGUUGCAAUGAAUAAUUGUGAUUUAUGACGGUACCGACAGAAAAAGCACCGGCUAACUACGUGCCAGCAGCCGCGGUAAUACGUAGGGUGCGAGCGUUAAUCGGAAUUACUGGGCGUAAAGGGUGCGCAGGCGGUCUUGCAAGUCAGAUGUGAAAGCCCCGGGCUUAACCUGGGAAUUGCGUUUGAAACUACAAGGCUAGAGUGCAGCAGAGGGGAGUGGAAUUCCAUGUGUAGCAGUGAAAUGCGUAGAGAUGUGGAAGAACACCGAUGGCGAAGGCAGCUCCCUGGGUUGACACUGACGCUCAUGCACGAAAGCGUGGGGAGCAAACA